ensembl:miRNA
GUUGGUGCAAAAGUGAUUGUGGUUUUUGUCAUUACUUUUCAUUGCACAAACCACAGUUACAUUUGCAGCAACCUA